rnacentral:rRNA from 1 species
GACGAGGGGUCCAAGCGUUGUUCGGAAUCAUUGGGCGUAAAGCGGGUGUAGGUGGCUCUAUAAGUCAGAAGUGAAAGCCCCGGGCUUAACCCGGGAAGUGCUUUUGAUACUGCAGAGCUUGAAUGUGGGAGAGGGUAGUGGAAUUCCAGGUGUAGUGGUGAAAUACGUAGAUAUCUGGAGGAACACCGGUGGCGAAGGCGGCUACCUGGCCCAACAUUGACACUGAGACCCGAA